UCUUCUUGCCCUCUGGUCUGGAGGACUUCUCUCUGAGGCUUAAUAGCCUGAGACAAGCGUUUGCUGUCUUGCUCGCCGAGGAGCAGUAUGCUAACUUCAUCACCGUGGCAGGGAAGAUGAUUUUGCGCACUAUGGCUGCUCUCAACGGACAGGAUGCUGGUGCAUUUCAACAGGCCUUUGACCAGCUAGUGACCUUUGUCCAGACUCCUGGU